rnacentral:rRNA from 1 species
UACGGAGGGUGCAAGCGUUAUCCGGAAUCACUGGGUUAAAGGGUGCGUAGGCGGCUAUGUAAGUCAGUUGUGAAAUACCUCGGCUUAACCGAAGGAAGUGCGAUUGAUACUGCGUAGCUUGAAUCAGGUUGAGGUAGGCGGAAUGUGGCAUGUAGCGGUGAAAUGCUUAGAUAUGCCAUAGAACACCGAUUGCGAAGGCAGCUUACUGGGCUUGAUUGACGCUGGAGGCACGAAAGCGUGGGGAGCAAACAGG